rnacentral:misc_RNA from 1 species
AAUUCCGUCGAGCCAAGGACAGCUGAUUUCCCCUGAAAUGUAAUAUAACAAUACAUAACACGCGAGGUGUGAAGCGCAAGGGUUAAACAUUCAAUACUGCGAUUCAUGCGUCAGGCGUGAUAAGAAAAAUGGCUCGUGAAUCGCGGGGGAGUCGCGUGCGUGUAUCUUCGUGUUAUUACCGCCGUUACGUACGUGCAAUUAAAAAUACAUCUGUACACCUGUACACGUGUAUAUUACAUAGGUAUAUAAACUGCUGUAUUGUAUAUCCGUGUCCGGAUUGGCUCGAAAAACGCGAAGGCGCUAAGAGGAAAAACCGUGUCUGUCGGUAGGAGUGGUGGGGAUUGAUCACGUGUCUGUUGUUCGAAACUUGUUCAACUAGCGAUCCUCCGGCGAUUUUAAUCCCAGUUCGGUUCGAGACGCCGGCCGAAAACGAUCGACGCGUAAGCAUCGGAGCUGCUGCGAAACUGUAACAAGCAGCGAUCAAUUCGCCGAAAUAACUGUAUCUUGAAGAUUUUAUUCUACGUUAUCGUCGUCGUCGUCUUUGUCGAAUAAGCAUAUUUCGUUAGCGGUGCACGACGGCAGUGUUUGUUUGUUUGUUUUUUUUUUUUUUUUUGUUUUAUUUAUUUUUCUCUCUCCUUUCGUCCGUCCAAUCGGCGUACAAGAUUCUUUCAUUCGUGAAAGCGCGCAAGCGCGCGCUGAGAUCCGGUAACCGGAAAUAAGUCAGAACAAUCGACGGAGGAAUUUGGACAAAUAAGAGAAUGGUGCAACCGCGGGAUAAGAAUUAUCGAGUAUUGGAAUAUCGAGUAGGGUAAAUAUAUAUAAUACAGCCGAAAGAAGAGUGAGAGGAGUAAUAAAAAAAAAAAUUUUUCAAUAACAAGAAAAAAACAGCCGGAAAUCGGUAAUUUCGAAUCUCAGUUUUCCCGCGUAAUAUAAUGAUUAUCGAUUUUUUUUUUUUUUUUUUUUCAAUGACAAUGUAAUUAUUCCGAAUUGUGAUAACGCGAGGAAGACGUAGUUCUUCGGAAAAUAAACAUCGUCGAUUGUGUUUGUGGUGAAAUUAUAUCGGUUUCAGUUUGUUUGUUUUUUUUUUUUUUUGUCAGUGAAGAAAAAAAAUAAGAUACCUUUAAUUAAAAGCAGUGAAAAUGUUUCGACUGUGGUUCGUCAUCCUAGCCUGCAGUUUCUGCUUUGAAAUAUCAGUUUCAUCGGCUAAGGAGCCGGUGAUCAUAUCAUUCAACCUGACGACUUUUGGCGGUGACAUCGAGAGGAUUAAAUCUCUGCACAACACCAGCUGGCCCCUUGUUGGAAAGUGCUGCCCGGUUGGUCAAUUGUAUCGUUUUAACGAUGAUGAUAAUCCGGGUGAAAAUCGAUGCGAAGACCCGCGACCGAACGAGAAAAACGAGUACUCACCGUUCUUCAGCGACUUCAAUCAUUCCGGACUGUUGGUUCCAGGAUUGAGUCAACCCCAAUUCGUCGCGGUCAUCGGAAUACCUUGCCGACAUGGAAAGUACAUAAUGGAUCCGUUGACGAUAGCGGAGGACGAGUAUCACCUCAUGAUGAACGGGAGCGUUUUCACGCCGCUGAAUAACGUGCGGAUGCUUCAACCUGGUCAAGACUACUGCAUGGAGGUCGUGUCCGAUGGAAGAUUGGUCGUCAUGGGCUGCUACCAGCCAGAACUUAAAGUAGUUACAGCGGACACGCGGCUCGCUAUGUACGCAAUCGGUCUCCUGAUUUCGGUGCCAUUUCUCCUGGCGACGAUCAUCUCGUACGUGAUAACGCGGCAGAUCUGCGACGUACAUGGCAUGAAUCUAUGCUGCUACUCCGGAUGUCUUGCUGUGGCUUUUCUCACCCUGGCGUUACUACAGCUUGGUGGACAGUCGUUCGAUCAGAACGCUUGCGUAUCGGCAGCGUUCGUCAUACAGUUCUCCUUCAUUGCCUGCUCCUUUUGGCUCAACGCUAUGACCGUCGAAAGUUGGCGACUUAUUCGAGGGUACAAAGCAGGCUCCCCUCCGCUCACUAGUGAGCGCAGCCCUCCACUCUACAGAGUAUUCUUUUUCUACUCAAUUUGGGGAUGGGGACUUUCCGCCGUUCUCAUCGUUGUCUCUUUGGCUCUGGGUCUCAAUCCGACGAUACCGUGGACCUACGUCAAAAGAUCCGGAAACGAGCAGCCGAGCUGCUGGUUUGGUUGGUGAGCUGCCCUCUGAAAGAAGACAUUUGGAUUCGCAGACAUCGUUGUGUACAAAUUUCCAGCAUCCUCCGGUCUCAGAUACAUCCCCGGCGGCAAUUGAACAAAAGUAUCAACGGGUCCUGAACGCAAAUCUGCAAACAAAUUGAUACCCGAUGUAAAAAUUAUGGACUGGAUAUGAAUGGAAAAACCACUUUUGAAACUCGCAAAUAACAGAAAUGUGGAACUACCAACGCGGAAAGAACUAUGUCUAAUACUUCUAAUACAGCUGUGUGUGUGCAAUGCGCGUAUAGCGGUAUGCACGGCUGCUGCCCCUCAAAAAUGCUUGUUUCCGUUUCAUAAUCUCACGACGAUUCUUGUACAUCUCUACGGUUUGACGGGUAACCGCACAUGAAACAACAUUCCGUGUGCAGAGUCGACUAUAAUACGACUAUGACUAAAAUAUUUCAGCGUCUAUGUAUAAAAUGACAUAGCUAUAUGGAUGACGAAAGGUUUAUGCAUUAUUGCUGCAACAUUGAUGCAUACGCAUGCAUACCUUCAGGGUAAAGUUGAUUAGCACUGCAUCUACACGCUGUACAGUUUGGAAUACCAGAAGACACCAGGGCAACACGGGCAGCAUUUUAGACUCCAGAGUAUCAUUUGGCGGUUUGAAGUGAAAGAAGGAUGGUGAGUACCCGCUGGCCGGCAGCGAACUGAGCCCGUCAUCCCUAUCGUGUGGAUUGCCACGAGUAACAACAGUGGCGUUUUCUCUUCCAAGGGCAGCGAGCUGUCG